rnacentral:misc_RNA from 1 species
GUAAUUGUAACUUCGUGUUGGAAAGAGGAUCCAAACACUCGUCCCAACUUCACUCAGAUAAUACAGAUGCUUCUUCAUUUUCUCUCUUCAGUUUCCCCUCCGGAACCAGUAAUACCAGCUAGGAUUUUCACUUCAGAGAAUCAUGUAUUACCACCGGAGUCUCCAGGUACCAGCUCGUUAAUGUCCAAGCGUGAUGACUCGGUUGAGACCCCUAAAACACCCAUGGAGAAUCAGCCAAGAGGUUUCUUCUUCUGUUUUAACCAAUGCUACUGAUCCCCAAGGGAAAAGUUUGUUAAUUCUCUAGAAAAUACUCGGAGUUGAGCUAUCUUAUUAUACAAUAGUAAGCUCACAAAAUGUUUAGCCCAGAUAUGUCACUAGAUAACUUAGCUUUUGGUCUUUCUUCCACAUAAGAUAAAAAGGUACACUUUUGAGUUUUAGCCAUGGUAAUUCAAAGGUGAAGGACGUUGUUGCAGGAAGAUGCAUGAUCUAGACUCGCGUUCU